rnacentral:rRNA from 1 species
AUUGAACGCUGGCGGCAGGCCUAACACAUGCAAGUCGAACGAGUGGCGGACGGGUGAGUAAUGUCUGGGAAACUGCCUGAUGGAGGGGGAUAACUACUGGAAACGGUAGCUAAUACCGUAUACCAUUAGAUGGGCCGAGAUGGGAUUAGCGUGUUGGUGGGGUAACGGCUCACCACGGCGACGAUCCCUAGCUGGUCUGAGAGGAUGAACAGCCACACUGGAACUGAGACACGGCCCAGACUCCUACGGGAGGCAGCAGUGGGGAAUAUUGCACAAUGGGCGCAAGCCUGAUGCAGCAAUGCCGCGUGUAUGAAGAAGGCCUUCGGGUUGUAAAGUACUUUCAGCGGGGAGGCGUUACCCGCAGAAGAAGCACCGGCUAACUCCGUGCCAGCAGCCGCGGUAAUUC